AGGUUUUUCUAAGAAUAUUCUUGCAAAUAAAGUUCCCCUGGUAAACAAAGUGUGACAUGAUCGUCAGAGUCCUUGUUUGCUGUUGAGUAAAAUUCCAAUGAGUUGGUUGUUGGUGACAACCAAGAAACUUUAAAAGCUCCAGUAGCUUCAUUGUCAACGACUACUACCUUCGCCUAUGAAAACGCAUUAAUCUUUGGAAAAGAAAAGCUCGAAUAGAGCUGCAACUUUUGCAACUUGUUUCUCCAUCGCCACUGCUGCAAUUGUGCUUCUCAUACAUUUGGACGAAGAGAUUCACAACAAAGGUCUCGUCCUUUGCCGGAGUUAACUUUUCUCGCUGCUGCUCCUGCUGCUACUCGAGCAAACUUUGAGGAAUCCUCUCCACGAACCUGGCACGACCGGAUGAGCUCAGUCCACAGCCUAUUUCCGAGCGGAUAUUUCCAAAACGGAUUUUGUUCCGCACGAUAAUUCGCUCUCUGUUGCUCGAAAGAAAUUGUAUCUGUGAGUGGGAAUCGAAUCGUGAUGAGUUUUCAGUGGUUUAAAAGAGAUAUUUGGUCUUACCUCGGAAGUCAUGGCUGCCACGAGCUUGUUUCGCGCAGCAACUACUCUCGACGCCACCUUGAUGAUUCUUGGAACCAUUGCUGCUGCCGCUAAUGGCCUCGCGUUGCCGGCCAUUCUCAUUGUCGCAAGCCUUGUUUACGACCAAUACGGGCGAUCAGAAUCAUCACCUAUGAAAACGCAUCCCAAGGAAUUCGUAAGUUUAAUCUUUCCUUAAGACAAAGCUCGAAUACUGACCACGCUAGAGCUGGAUCUUUGGCAACAGGCUCAGAGGUAUCUCUCCAUCGCCACUGCCGCAAUGCUUGCUGCGUAUGUCAGUGAGUUUCUCAGUAUCGUAUACUUUAAAGGCGAUCAAUCGACCUGAGUUUUUGGCAGAUGUGAGCUGCUGGAGUUGCACUGCCGACCGGCAAGUUCGAAAGCUUCGACUGAUGUAUAUGAGCUCGCUACUGAGCCAAAGCGUUGGCGAUGUUGACAACUCUACUGCGAACGUGAUAGACAACGUUACCAGCAAUCUGGUGUUAGUCCAAAAAGCAAUCGGAGAGAAGGUAACAUCUCUACGCUUUUCUCUUCUUCACGAAAUUGUUGCAGAUCGGGAACAUUAUCUACAGCGUUGCAUUUUUUCUUGGAGGCUACCUGGUAGCAGUAGUGUUGAU
rnacentral:lncRNA from 1 species